ACUCACUGGUCUAGAGGUUUGGCGUUCUCGCUCGAGACAGAAGGUCUUGGGUUCGAAUCCCGCGUGUGAGACA
rnacentral:tRNA from 1 species